GGGGUAAAAUUAAUAAUAUAAAAUUAAUAAAAUAAUUUUUAAUAAAAAAUAUUUAAUGGGGGUUAAAGUAUUUUUUUAUGAAAAAAUUAAUAAUUUUAUAGUUAAAUAGUAUUGUAAAAGAAAUUUGAAAUAAAAUUGAAAUAAAAAAUUAUGUAAAAGUAAUUUUAAUUUAAUGUAUCUUGUGUAUCAGAGUUUAUUAAUAAUAAUUUUUAGAGAAAAAAUUUCUCGAAUUUAAAAGAGUUAAUUUAUUAUAAAAGUUAAUGUUGAAUAAUUAUUUUUAAUAAUAAAUUAGAAAUGAAAUGUUAAUCGUUUUUAAAUAUAUCUAGUUUUUUUAGAAAAAAAUUUAAUUUUAAAUUUUAAAUAAUAUAAUUUUUAUUAAUAAAAAUUAUAUUAUUUAAAAUUAAAUAUUUUAAGGGAUAAGCUUUGAAAUAAAAUUUUAUAAUAAAUUUAUUUUUAAUAAAAAUUUUAAAAUUUAUAUUUUUUAAAAAUUAUAAUUUUUUAUAAAUAAUUUUAUUAAAAUUAAAAAUUUAAAAUUUAUUUUAUUUAAUUUUUUAUAAAAAAAUAUUUUUUAAUAAAAUAAAAUUAAUUAUAAUGAUAAAAUUAGUAUAUAAAAUUAAUAAAAAUUAAAAAUUUAUUUUAAUUUAAUAAAAGGAAUUCGGCAAAUAUUUAUAUUCACUUGUUUAUCAAAAACAUGUCUUUUUGGUUUUAAUUUAAAGUCUAAUCUGCCCACUGAUUUUAUUAAAGGGCUGCAGUAUAUUGACUGUACAAAGGUAGCAUAAUCAUUAGUCUCUUAAUUGGUGACUUGUAUGAAAGAUUUGAUGAAAUAUAAACUGUCUCUUUUUAAUUUUUAAAAUUUAAUUUUUUAGUUAAAAAGCUAAAAUAACUUUAAAAGACGAGAAGACCCUAUAGAGUUUUAUAAUUGAUAAAAUUAUUAUUUUAUAUAAAAUUUUAAAUAAAAAUUUAAUAAAUUAUUUUAUUGGGGUGAUAGAAAAAUUUAAUAAACUUUUUUUAAAAUUUUUACAUUUAUAAAUGAAAAUAUGAUCCGUUUUUAACGAUUAUAAGAAAAAAUUACCUUAGGGAUAACAGCGUAAUUUUUUUUUUUAGUUCAAAUAAAAAAAAGAGUUUGCGACCUCGAUGUUGGAUUAAGAUAAAAGUUAAAUGCAAAAGUUUAAAAUUUUUGAUCUGUUCGAUCAUUAAAAUCUUACAUGAUCUGAGUUCAAACCGGUGUAAGCCAGGUUGGUUUCUAUCUUUAAAUAAUUAAAAUAUUUUAGUACGAAAGGAUCAUAUAUUUAAAAUAAUUUUAUUUUUAUGAAUUUUAUUAAUGGACUUAUUUAAAUAAAAAGCUAUUUUGACAGAAAAAAUGUGAU
rnacentral:rRNA from 1 species